GACGAACGCUGGCGGCGUGCCUAAUACAUGCAAGUCGAGCGAAGUUUUUCUGGUGCUUGCACUAGAAAAACUUAGCGGCGAACGGGUGAGUAACACGUAAAGAACCUGCCUCAUAGACUGGGACAACUAUUGGAAACGAUAGCUAAUACCGGAUAACAGUAUUUCUCGCAUGAGAGAUAUUUAAAAGUUGGUUAUGCUAACACUAUGAGAUGGCUUUGCGGUGCAUUAGCUAGUUGGUGGGGUAAAGGCCCACCAAGGCGACGAUGCAUAGCCGACCUGAGAGGGUGAUCGGCCACACUGGGACUGAGACACGGCCCAGACUCCUACGGGAGGCAGCAGUAGGGAAUCUUCCGCAAUGGGCGAAAGCCUGACGGAGCAACGCCGCGUGAGUGAAGAAGGAUUUCGGUUCGUAAAGCUCUGUUGUUAGGGAAGAAUGGAUAUGUAGUAACUAUACAUGUAC
rnacentral:rRNA from 1 species